rnacentral:rRNA from 1 species
CCUACGGGUGGCAGCAGUGGGGAAUAUUGGACAAUGGGCGAAAGCCUGAUCCAGCCAUGCCGCGUGUGUGAAGAAGGCCUUCGGGUUGUAAAGCACUUUCAGUGGGGAAGAAAGCCUUGGGGCUAAUACCCUCGAGGAAGGACAUCACCCACAGAAGAAGCACCGGCUAACUCCGUGCCAGCAGCCGCGGUAAUACGGAGGGUGCGAGCGUUAAUCGGAAUUACUGGGCGGAAAGCGCGCGUAGGCGGUCUGAUAAGCCGGUUGUGAAAGCCCCGGGCUCAACCUGGGAACGGCAUCCGGAACUGUCAGGCUAGAGUGCAGGAGAGGAAGGUAGAAUUCCCGGUGUAGCGGUGAAAUGCGUAGAGAUCGGGAGGAAUACCAGUGGCGAAGGCGGCCUUCUGGACUGACACUGACGCUGAGGUGCGAAAGCGUGGGUAGCAAACAGGAUUAGAUACCCCUGUAGUC